AGCUAAUACUUGCUUUAGCACUCUUGAUUUAUUUCUUGAGUGUGUACUUGUUAAGCCUUAUAAGAAAAGAGUUAUUAACUUAAGGAAUUAUAACAAAGAAGUAACACGUAAUGGAUCAUUCCAUUUUUAGUGUGUAUCAAUCGAGUUUCUGACCUAUCAGCUUUUGAUGUUAGGGUAUUGGCCUAACAUGGCUAUGACGGGUAACGGGGAAUUAAAGUUCGAUUCCGGAGAGGGAGCCUGAGAAAUAGCUACCACAUCUAAGGAAGGCAGCAGGCGUGUAAAUUACCCAAUUCUAAAGAAGAGAGGUAGUGACAAGAAAUAACAAUACAAGGCCAAUCUGGCUUUGUAAUUGGAAUGAUGGGAAUUUAAAACCUUCCCAAAAUUCAAUUGGAGGGCAAGUCUGGUGCCAGCAGCCGCGGUAAUUCCAGCUCCAAUAGCGUAUAUUAAAAUUGUUGCAGUUAAAACGCUCGUAGUUGAAUUUCAAAGAAUCGAUAUUUUAAGUAACGCUUCUAGCUACAAAUCCACAUAACUGAUGCCUCCGCGUAUCGACUUUGUGCGCAUUUUAGCUAUUAUGUGUUCUUUUAAUUAAAAUGAUUCUUUUUAAGAUUCAUCUAUUAAAAAUUUGCUUCGGCAUAAUUUUUUUUGAUGAUCUUGUUACUUUGAGUAAAUUAGAGUGUUCAAAGCAAACAGAUAUAGCAUUUGUGCGUUUGAAUACUACAGCAUGGAAUAACAAAAUUGAACAAGUCAGAAUUUUUUUGUUCUUUUUUCUUAUUUUGGCUUAGUUACGAUUAAUAGGAGUAGCUUGGGGGCAUUUGUAUUCAGAUGUCAGAGGUGAAAUUCUUAGAUUUUCUGGAGACAAACAACUGCGAAAGCAUUUGCCUAAAAUACUUCCAUUAAUCAAGAACGAAAGUUAAGGGAGUGAAGACGAUCAGAUACCGUCGUAAUCUUAACCAUAAACUAUGCCGACUAGGCUUUGGAUGAAAGAUUUUAAAAUAAGAGUUUU
rnacentral:rRNA from 1 species